rnacentral:rRNA from 1 species
CCUACGGGAGGCAGCAGUGAGGAAUAUUGGUCAAUGGGCGUAAGCCUGAACCAGCCAAGUCGCGUGAGGGAUGAAGGUUCUAUGGAUCGUAAACCUCUUUUAUAAGGGAAUAAAGUGUGGGACGUGUCCUAUUUUGUAUGUACCUUAUGAAUAAGGAUCGGCUAACUCCGUGCCAGCAGCCGCGGUAAUACGGAGGAUCCGAGCGUUAUCUGGAUUUAUUGGGUUUAAAGGGUGCGUAGGCGGCCUUUUAAGGCAGCGGUGAAAGUCUGUGGCUCAACCAUAGAAUUGCCGUAGAAACUGGGGGGCUUGAGUAUGGUAGAGGCAGGCGGAAUGCGUGGUGUAGCGGUGAAAUGCUUAGAUAUCACGAAGAACCCCGAUUGCGAAGGCAGCCUGCCAAGCCAUGACUGACGCUGAGGCACGAAAGCGUGGGGAUCAAACAGGAUUAGAUACCUCUGUAGUC